rnacentral:rRNA from 1 species
CGGGUGAGUAAUGUAUGGGGAUCUGCCCGAUAGAGGGGGAUAACUACUGGAAACGGUAGCUAAUACCGCAUAAUCUCUUAGGAGCAAAGCAGGGGAACUUCGGUCCUUGCGCUAUCGGAUGAACCCAUAUGGGAUUAGCUAGUAGGUGAGGUAAUGGCUCACCUAGGCGACGAUCCCUAGCUGGUCUGAGAGGAUGAUCAGCCACACUGGGACUGAGACACGGCCCAGACUCCUACGGGAGGCAGCAUUGGGGAAUAUUGCACAAUGGGCGCAAGCCUGAUGCAACCAUGCCGCGUGUAUGAAGAAGGCCCUAGGGUUGUAUAGUACUUUCAGGCGGGAGGAAGGCGUUAAUGCUAAUAUCAU